AUUGAACGCUGGCGGCAGGCUUAACACAUGCAAGUCGAGCGGGGAAGUGUAGCUUGCUACAUUACCUAGCGGCGGACGGGUGAGUAAUGCUUAGGAAUCUGCCUAUUAGUGGGGGACAACAUUCCGAAAGGAAUGCUAAUACCGCAUACGUCCUACGGGAGAAAGCAGGGGAUCUUCGGACCUUGCGCUAAUAGAUGAGCCUAAGUCGGAUUAGCUAGUUGGUGGGGUAAAGGCCUACCAAGGCGACGAUCUGUAGCGGGUCUGAGAGGAUGAUCCGCCACACUGGGACUGAGACACGGCCCAGACUCCUACGGGAGGCAGCAGUGGGGAAUAUUGGACAAUGGGCGGAAGCCUGAUCCAGCCAUGCCGCGUGUGGGAAGAAGGCCUUUUGGUUGUAAAGCACUUUAAGCGAGGAGGAGGCUACUCUAGUUAAUACCUAGGGAUAGUGGACGUUACUCGCAGAAUAAGCACCGGCUAACUCUGUG
rnacentral:rRNA from 1 species